CCGUGCAUAACAUCAGCAUUUGUAUGCAUGAAAAAUAAUCUUGUCUUCUACGACGUCAGAGCGUAUAAAUAUGAUUUCUCUGCAUGGCAAGCCAUCUCGCAAACACAAUAGUAAAAACAACAACAAUAGGCAGCAUAUUUCCCCGAACCGAACCUGCAGCUCCUGUCCAACAAUAACCACGCUUCACGAUCGAGUCUGUCCCAAAAAUACUUCUCAAUGCGCCCUUGUGGACUUGCGCGAGGGGCCCUAUAAGUCUGCACUACAUGACGUCACCGAAGUGUGGACUCUGAGGAAGUCCACAAGUCCGGAGUGUGCCAUUUGGGACAGGGCCUACGGGGCGAGUGGAGCUCCAUUCAACAAUAGUAACAAUAGCUGGCAGUGUGUACAGUCAUAGACAGUAUAUAUAUAUAUUUAUUUAACCGAGCGCAUAUAUACAUGACCUCACCUAAUCUUCGCACACAAUAUCAAAGCAGUAUACUACACUUUUACGGUUUAUGACUUUUAAAUAUAAUAUUAUAGUAAAAAUAAUUUCAGAAUUUUCUAUUUAAAGCUAAAUAACAUGUACAAAUCAACCAAUGUAAAAUAAUGAAGAAUAAUUUCCACAAUUUAAGUUUUAAUUGUUUUUAUGUAAAAAAAAAAACAAAAAAAAAACAAAUAAUCUUAAAUUUUUACAACACAAUAACUGGAGUGGAGGUGACGUAUUUCCUGUUUGAGAGUGGAGCUCCAAUCGCCCACAGUCUGCAGCCAGACCCUUCUCGGUUUACUUGCGCGUCGCCCAAAAUGUCGUUUUUUACUCGAUGUCUCCAGAAUCUUCCGAAAAUACGCGUCAGCGAUGUUCAUCGCAUUGUUGAUGCCUGAUCCCCUGCUCCGACAAGCAAGAGGGACAAGGGCUUUAAACUCUACAUAUCAAGUUAUCUGCACAACUACAAGGGUAAGUAUUUUAAUCUAAUGUGGUGUGCCGGCAUAUAGCGGCUAAACUAGUUCGCCUCGUGUUCAUUUUUAAUGUAACGUUAGUAUAGAAGCUUGUUUUUUCUUAGUUUUAAAGCAGACUGUUUGUUAAUUUUUGUGAUAAUUGUGAUAUCAAUUAUAUUAACUUGGUCUCCUCUCAGUUUCUAAUAAAGAUCAGGACACCGGUGAAGUCACUGUCAGGGCAUUGUGCUUCAGGUCCAUAAGGAAAGCAGAUAAACCUCACAGUUUGAGUGUAUGGUGAAGCUAGAAUUAAUAAGACCGCAGUUAUAGGCUUGUUACUUUAAUAGGCCGAUGUUCCUGGGGACUCGGCUAAGGUUAUUCAUGAUUAAUGUAAAUCAGAUGAAAACAGUUAUUGUAGGCAGGUAAGUUUCCCUAGCUGGUCCCCUCUGUGUAAAAUGCGUUCUUAUUCAAGUUUUCAACUCAGUCAUUCGUUUAAGAUGCAAUCUUGUGUUAUAAGUAUUAGGCUAUCAUGAUUAUACAGUGAGCAAGCUAUAUAAAUAAGUAUUUAAUAUAAUAAAAGUGUAGAGCAACAACCGAGGGUGCAAGGUAAAGGCUGAAUAUUGUAGAUUUAUUACAAUAUGUUGCAUGUUUGAAUUAAAAUACCUGUGGAUAUGCAGGAGCACACACUCUACAAAGGCCUGACUGGAGAUUUGCCUGAUCUGUCUGUCCUUCAGAUGACAGCGGCUCACUUCAAGAGCAGGUGAAGCAAGUGGGACAAUGUUGAAGACAUUUGCUCGCACUGGGCAAUCAGGUGCAGAUCAAACCCUAAUGCUGCGACUUCUUGGAAUUUGGCGAUGUUGUGCGUAGCAUGGACGACAAAAUGCUAUGCUGCAACGUUUCAGUGCCAAUGUGUCUGUUGGAGAGUUAUCCCUGCCAGGGGAUCUGUUACUCCCCCCUAGACACCCAGGAAGAUUUGGCGUUGCUUGACAACAGUUUGAGGCAGGAUAAGGAGCUCCAGCAACGAUUUCUUCGGUUUUUGGCAAUCAAAUGUGGGAGGGACCUAAAGACAACCGUGUGUGAAUGCUUCAGAGUAUCUUCUCUAAUCACCUUUCCAUCAAUACAACCUGGACUGGUGUAGGGGAUAAAGCAUGUUUUAGAGACAUGUUCCUGAAGACCAUUGUUCAAAGAGCCAUCCGGAAGAACCCGGCAACACAGGAUGCCACUGAUGAGGCAAUCCAGGUUAACGCUACGCGUUACCUGAAAGGAGCAUCUGAACAUGAAGGUGGAAAAAGCGCCGCACAGCUGAGAGGGACCCACAGCUGACCCCUUAAACCUAGGCUGACU